UACACACAUUCAUACAUUACAUUCAUAUUCAUCGCACACACAUGUUUGAGAAUAUCCGCGAAAACGCGAAAGGCCUUUCUCUUUUUAUCUUUCUUCGAACACUUUUUUCAACUGGUACGACUAGUUAUUAAAUAAUUAAUUAAUCCCUUCUGAGUAUCAUCGAACAUACUAUUUAUAUAAUAUAUUAUGUACAAUAUGUUAAAACGUGUUGUUCUUCGGAUCGAUAGCGUUGUCAAUUUUUCGUGCAGUAGGUAACCUCAAAUUUAUAUUAAGAUCAUAACAAUGUGGAUAAGGACUUUUGAUAAGGAAUUACGGAAGAAAAGGAAGAAAAAAAAUCAACUGGCAAACAAGAUUUCUUUCAUAUGCUAUUCUUUUGGUCAUGUGCUCGAAUUAAAAACAAACAACUAAAGAAGAAAAGAGAAAUCAGAGGACAGACAGUUCUAAUGUUUCGUAGACCGAAAACGAUAAGAAUACAACGACGACGAAUUUAUUAAUGAUAUAUCAAUCAACGAUCAUGCACACACACACACGCACACACGCACGCACGCACGCACGCACACACACACACACACAAACGUAUGGAAACACGCACGCACUUAUGCAGGCCAACAAACUCAUAGAAUAAUCUUUAUUUUAUUUUAUUAUUAUUUUUUUUUUUAUUAAUUUUCUUCUCUUUCUCUUUUAUUUUCGCUCGACUUUUGUUUUGCUCUUAUACAAUGUUUCCGUCACUUUAAUCUUAAUAUCGCAUCUGAGAUGAUAAUCAGUUCACCGUACUACAAGUUCCCGCUUCUACAAUCUCUUUUCAUUGACUCAUCACAAAUUAUCUUUCGUUGUCGAAUAUAUCAGAGAAAUAUUUUGAUAUGAAUAAUCAUUAAUACAAAUAUUAAUUGCAAUAAUGAACGGACGCGUAUCCAAUCAUAAUAUAUCUAUAAGAUAAUGAUGGCAGUGAGGAUUGAUCGUUUACGCGAGGAACCCUGAAAAAUGUAUACACAAUAUAUUUUCAUACGUGUACGUAACUACAUACAUACGUCAUAUCAAGUCAGUUACUUCAAGUUGUGGAAGCAUGAAUAUUUUUUCUUUUUUCUUUUCUGUUACUAUCAAAUCUUAAAAUCUUAAUAAAACUUUUAUCUGACAUCGAUAUAUACAUAUAUAUUUUUCUUUUUUCAUAUUACGAAUGUCACAAAGACAUUUAUCCGAUUGAUAUUGAAUUCAGUUUAGAAACGUAUCAUAUAUAUAUCACAUAUAUAUCAGUAAAACAAAUUUCAAAUAUCAUAAAUGUGUUACUUAUUUUAUAUGCUUGAAACAAGCAUUUAAACGCGGUUUGUUUUUUUUUUCUAAAUUGAUAAAUAAAUUAAAUCAAAUGAAAGUUGAA